rnacentral:rRNA from 1 species
UGGGGAAUAUUGCACAAUGGGCGCAAGCCUGAUGCAGCCAUGCCGCGUGUAUGAAGAAGGCCUUCGGGUUGUAAAGUACUUUCAGCGGGGAGGAAGGGAGUAAAGUUAAUACCUUUGCUCAUUGACGUUACCCGCAGAAGAAGCACCGGCUAACUCCGUGCCAGCAGCCGCGGUAAUACGGAGGGUGCAAGCGUUAAUCGGAAUUACUGGGCGUAAAGCGCACGCAGGCGGUUUGUUAAGUCAGAUGUGAACUCCCCGGGCUCAACCUGGGAACUGCAUCUGAUACUGGCAAGCUUGAGUCUCGUAGAGGGGGGUAGAAUUCCAGAUGUAGCGGUGAAAUGCGUAGAGAUCUGGAGGAAAACCGGUGGCGAAGGCGGCCCCCUGGACGAAGACUGACGAUCAGGUGCGAAAGCGUGGGGAGCAAACAGG